rnacentral:rRNA from 1 species
UACGUAGGGCGCAAGCGUUGUCCGGAAUUAUUGGGCGUAAAGAGCUCGUAGGCGGCUUGUCACGUCGAUUGUGAAAGCCCGAGGCUUAACCUCGGGUCUGCAGUCGAUACGGGCUAGCUAGAGUGUGGUAGGGGAGACUGGAAUUCCUGGUGUAGCGGUGAAAUGCGCAGAUAUCAGGAGGAACACCGAUGGCGAAGGCAGGUCUCUGGGCCGAUACUGACGCUGAGGAGCGAAAGCGUGGGGAGCGAACAGG